AGAGUUUGAUCCUGGCUCAGGACGAACGCUGGCGGCGUGCCUAAGACAUGCAAGUCGAGCGGGGCGUGCAGCAAUACGCGCCUAGCGGCGGACGGGUGAGUAACACGUGGAUAACCUGCCCCCGAGACCGGGACAACGGGCCGAAAGGCCCGCUAAUACCGGGUAUGCUCACGGUCCGGCAUCGGGCCGGGAGGAAAGGAGCGAUCCGCUCGGGGAUGGGUCCGCGGCCCAUUAGCUAGUUGGCGGGGUAACGGCCCACCAAGGCGACGAUGGGUAGCCGGCCUGAGAGGGCGACCGGCCACACUGGGACUGAGACACGGCCCAGACUCCUACGGGAGGCAGCAGUCGGGAAUUUUGCGCAAUGGGGGAAACCCUGACGCAGCAACGCCGCGUGAGUGAGGAAGGCCUUCGGGUUGUAAAGCUCUGUCGGCCGGGACGAAGUCCCGCCAUCGGAUGGCGGGGUGACGGUACCGGCGGAGGAAGCCCCGGCUAACUACGUGCCAGCAGCCGCGGUAAUACGUAGGGGGCGAGCGUUGUCCGGAGUUAUUGGGCGUAAAGGGUGCGUAGGCGGCCCGUUAAGUGGGGAGUGAAAUGCCGCGGCUCAACUGCGGAGCUGCUCUCCAAACUGGCGGGCUUGAGGGUCGGAGAGGGCUGCGGAAUUCCCGGUGUAGCGGUGAAAUGCGUAGAGAUCGGGAGGAACACCAGUGGCGAAGGCGGCAGCCUGGACGAUUCCUGACGCUGAGGCACGAAAGCUCGGGGAGCAAACGGGAUUAGAUACCCCGGUAGUCCGAGCCGUAAAC
rnacentral:rRNA from 1 species